rnacentral:sRNA from 1 species
AAAAUUUGUCGGAAAAUUUAUUUUGGAAUAUUUUAAGAGAAAAAUAUUAAUAUUUCAUUGUGUUAACCUAAAACAAUUUUCAAAUAGGGGUACAAUGGUCAUUAAAAAUUGAAAGAGGGUAGAAAUGAAAAUGGCAAAUAGGAAAUGGUAGAAUGGAAAAAGAGUAGUGUGAAAAGGGCAUUCUCAGCAAUUAUUCUUCAUUAAAACCCUCCCUGAAAUCAUCUCUAGUAUUUUGAUGUCAUUUAAGUUUAGAUAAUCAUUUUGGAAAAU